rnacentral:lncRNA from 1 species
CAUUCUCAGAACCGUGGCGAUAGGAAAUGGGAGAAGGGUGCCGCUGCCCAGAGCGGCUCUAAUUUGUACCAUUUCUGUUGGUGCGCCAUCGAGAACGCUUGCUUGCUUGUCUGUCACAUGUAUUUAAUAAUAAUAAUAAUAAUAAUAAUAAUAAUAAUAAUAAUAUCUUAUUUAUAGCCCACGCAUCGGGCUGAGUUUCCCCAGCCACUCUGGGCGGCUCCCAAUCAAGUGUUAAAAACAAUACAGCAUUAAGGAUUUAAAAAUUCCUUAAACAGGGCUGCCUUCAGAUGUCUUUUAAAGAUAGGAUAGCUGCUUAUUUCCUUCACAUCUGAUGGGAGGGCGUUCCACAGGGUGGGCGCCACCACCGAGAAGGCCCUCUGUCUGGUUCCCUGUAACCUCACUUCUCGCAGGAAGGAAACCGCCAGAAGGCCCUUGGAGCUGGACCUCAGUGUCCGGGCAGAAUGAUGGGGGUGGAGACGCUCCUUCAGGUCUACUGUUCUGAGGCCGUUUAGGGCUUUCAAGGUCAGCACCAACACUUUGAAAUGUGCUCGGAAACGUCCUGGGAGCCAAUGCAGAUCUUUGAGGACCGGUGUUGUACAGUCUUGGUGGCCGCUCCCAGUCCCCAGUCUAGCUGCCGCAUUCUGGAUUAAUUGCAGUUUCCGGGUCACCUUCAAAGGUAGCCCCACAUAGAGCACAUUGCAGUAGUCCAAGUGGGAGAUAACCAGAGCAUGCACCACUCUGGCGAGACAGUCCACGGGCAGGUGGGGUCUCAUCCUGCAUACCAGAUGGAGCUGAUAAACAGCUGCCCUGGACACAGAAUUGACCUGCGCCUCCAUGGACAGCUGUGAGUCCAAAAUGACCUCCAGGUUGCGCACCUGGUCCUUCAGGGACACAGUUACUCCAUUCCGGACCAGGGAGUCCCCCACACCUGCCCGCCCCCUGUCCCCCCAAAACAGUACUUCUGUCUUGUCAGGAUUCAACCUCAAUCUGUUAGCCACCAUCCGUCCUCCAACCGCCUCCAGGCACUCACAGGCUCGCGGAGCACUUCAGAUGUUGUUAGGCCCCCAAGUCCCAGCAUGACACGCUGUUAAGAAUGAUGGGAACCUUUUUACCAUAUGUGGUGGGAAUGUAGAGAAGUUUUUAAAAAUUCGAAAAUGAUAUACAGUGGUGCCUUGCAAGACGAAAAGAAUCCGUUCCGCGAGUCUCUUCGUCUUGCGGGUUUUUUCGUCUUGCGAAGCAAGCCCAUUAGCGGUUUAGCGGAUUAGCGCUACAGUAUUAGUGGCUUAGCGGGCUUAGCGGAUCAGCUGAUAAGCGGCUUAGCGAUCAGCUGUUAAGCGGCUUAAAGAUCAGCUGAUAAGCAGCUUAAAGAUCAGCUGAUCAGCGGCUUAACGAUCAGCUGUUAAGCGGCUUAGCCGAUCAGCUGAUAAGCGGUUUAGCGGCUUGGGAAAAAGGGGGGGGGAGGAAAAAAACCCCGCAGGAACUCGCAAGACAUUUUCGUCUUGCGAAGCAAGCACAUAGGAAAUUCGUUUUGCGAAGCACCUCCAAAACGGAAAACCCUUUCGUCUAGCGGGUUUUCCGUCUUGCGAGGCAUUCGUCUUGCGGGGCACCACUGUAUAAUGAAUUGAAAAAAAUGUUUAAAUUGACAUACCGUUUUUUUUUGCUCUAGAAGACUCACUUUUUCCCUCCUAAAAAGUAAGGGGAAAUGUGUGUGCGUCUUAUGGAGCAAAUGCAGGCUGCACAGCUAUCCCAGAAGCCAGAACAGCAAGAGGGAUUGCUGCUUUCACUGCGCAGCGAUCCCUCUUGCUGUUCUGGCUUCUGAGAUUCAGAAUAUUUUUUUCUUGUUUUCCUCCUCCAAAAACUAGGUGCGUCUUGUGGUCUGGUGCAUCUUAUAGAGCGAAAGAUACGGUAUGUAAAAAAAAAACCAGAAGCAUUUUUGCUAGGGAUUGUAGGACAAGACCUGCCAAGAAAAAUAAAGAGCUUAUUUAUGUAUGCUACAACAGCGGCAAGAGUCUUGUUAGCACAAGGAUGGAAGAAUGAGGAAACUCCAACGAAAGAACAGUGGCAAGAAAAAUUGAUGAGUUAUGCAGAACUGGCCAAAUUGAUAUACAAACUGCGUGAAAAGCACAGCUGUGACUUCAAGGAAGAAUGGGAACUUUUUGGAAACGAUCUCAAAAGACAACAAAAUGAACUGGGCUCUUUGGCAGGUUUUGAAUAAACAUUCACAAAUUGAUUAGUUGAACAUAUGAUAGAUAUGGUUAAUAAAAAUACUUUUUAAAAAAAAAAAGAAUUAUGGGAGCCGCCACAAAAGAUUCCUGCAUUUUCAGGGCGUUGGGCUAGAGGAUCUUUGCUGUCCAGUCGGCUGUCUAGAGGGGAACAAAAUUAAAGAAUACAAAACUGUGAAAAAACCGGCAGUAUAAACAGUACAAUGAGAAUGAUUGGAAGACUCGUUUUGUCAGAAGUCUUUUUUAUUUAAGUGUUUAUUUAAGUAUUAAUUAGGAAGAUUAAGGUUUUUUUAUGCACGUAAAUCUGCUUUUUCUUCUUUCUUUUUUCUGUAUUUUCUUCUUUAUUUCUUAAUUUUUUUCUUUAUUUUCUUUUUGUAGUAUGAAAUUGUAAAUUCUUU